UGUCUCUAGCCUUCUGAAGGCCACUCCCUGUGGCCUUCAGACAUCUGCUUGCUUUAAAAACUCCCAGCUUGGCAGACGACCAGGUUUGGCUGUGAUGCUGCUGCUCGGGCCAGAAUGUCAUACCCAGGCUAUCCCCCAACAGGCUACCCACCUUUCCCUGGAUAUCCUCCUGCAGGUCAGGAGUCAUCUUUUUCCCCUUCUGGUCAGUAUCCUUAUCCUAGUGGCUUUCCUCCAAUGAGAGGAGGUGCCUACCCCCAAGUGCCAAGUGGUGGCUAUCCAGGAGCUGGAGGCUACCCUGCGCCUGGAGGUUAUCCAGCCCCUGGAGGCUAUCCUGGUGCCCCACAGCCAUGGGAGCUCCACCCUAUCCUGGAGUUCCUCCAGGUCAUGGAUGUAGAGUCCCACCAGGUGGAGCAGACGUUUCUGGCUAUCCACAGCCACCUUCACAGUCUUAUGGAGGUGGUCCAGCACAGGUCCCACUACCUGGUGGCUUUCCUGGAGGAUAGAUGCCUUCUCAGUAUCCUGGAGGACAGCCUACUUACCCUAGUCAGCCUGCCACAAUGACUCAGGGCACUCAAGGAACUAUCCGACCAGGUGCCAACUUCGAUGCUAUGAGAGAUGCAGAAAUUCUCCAUAAGGCAAUGAAGGGUUUUGGGACAGACGAGCAGGCAGUUGUGGAUGUGGUGGCCAACCGUUCCAAUGAUCAGAGGCAAAACAUUAAAGCAGCAUUUAAGACCUCAUAUGGCAAGGAUUUAAUCAAAGAUCUCAAAUCAGAGUUAAGUGGAAAUAUGGAAGAACUGAUCCUGGCCAUAUUCAUGCCUCCUACAUAUUAUGAUGCCUGGAGCUUACGGAAAGCAAUGCAGGAACUCUGGAAUGUGUGUUGAUUGAAAUUUUGUGCACAAGAACAAAUCAGGAAAUCUGAGAAAUUGUCAGAUGUUAUCAGUCAGAAUUUGGAUGAGACCUUGAAAAGGACAUUAGGUCAGAUAUCUCAGGACAUUUUGAAUGCUUUCUUGUGUCCAUGUGCCAGGGAAAUCGUGAUGAAAACAGAGUGUAACCCACCAAAUGGCUCAGGAAGACGCUGAGCAUCUCUAUCAAGCUGGCGAGGGGAGAUUAGGGACUGAUGAAUCUUGCUUUAACAUGAUCCUUGCCACGAGAAGCUUUCCUCAGCUGUGAGCUACCAUGGAGGCUUAUUCCAGGAUGGCUAACUGAGAUUUGUUAAGCAGUGUGAGCCGUGAGUUUUCCGGAUUGUGGAAAGUGGUUUGAAGACCAUCUUGCAGUGUGCCCUGAGCUGCCCUGCCUUCUUUGCUGAGAGGCUCUACUACACUAUGAAAGGUGCUGGCACAGAUGACUCCACCCUGGUCAGGAUUGUGAUCACUCAAAGUGAGAUUGAUCUUGUACAAAUAAAACAAAUCUUCACUCAGAUAUAUCAGAAGACCCUGGUCACAAUGAUUGCAAAUGACAUGAGUGGAGAUUACCGAAGACUUCUUCUGGCUAUUGUGGGCCAGUAGGAGGGAUUUUUUUUUUUUUUUUUAACGAAUGAAGCUAUGCACAGCUUAUCCUUCAGAGCAAUGACCUGCAUGCAGCAAUAUCAACCAUCAGCUAACCAAAAGAGCUUUCUAUUAAGGACCAUAUCAGGGUAAUGUGCUUGGUUUGCACACGUUGUUAUUGCCUUAAUUCUAAUGUCACUUUGUUCUCUACAUAUAAUCAAUGUAAAGCCAUAUCACAAUGAUACGGUAAUAUUGCAAUGUUUGUAAAGCUUCAUUCUUACUAGUUUCAUUCUAAUCGAGAUGUCAAAUUGAAU